GAUGGCGACCGGCGCACGGGUGAGUAACACGUAUCCAACCUGCCGAUGACUCGGGGAUAGCCUUUCGAAAGAAAGAUUAAUACCCGAUGGCAUAGUUCUUCCGCAUGGUGGAACUAUUAAAAGAAAUUUCGGUCAUCGAUGGGGAUGCGUUCCAUUAGGUUGUUGGCGGGGUAACGGCCCACCAAGCCUUCGAUGGAUAGGGGUUCUGAGAGGAAGGUCCCCCACAUUGGAACUGAGACACGGUCCAAACUCCUACGGGAGGCAGCAUG
rnacentral:rRNA from 1 species